rnacentral:rRNA from 1 species
AGAGUUUGAUCCUGGCUCAGGACGAACGCUGGCGGCGUGCUUAACACAUGCAAGUCGAACGAGACGAUUGAAAGCUUGCUUUUGAAAGUCGAGUGGCAAACGGGUGAGUAACGCGUAGACAACCUGCCGUAAAGAUGGGGACAACAGUCCGAAAGGACUGCUAAUACCGAAUGUUGUAAGUCUUCCGCAUGGAAGGCUUACUAAAGGUGGCCUCUACUUGUAAGCUAUCGCUUUACGAUGGGUCUGCGUCUGAUUAGCUGGUUGGUGGGGUAACGGCCUACCAAGGCGACGAUCAGUAGCCGGUCUGAGAGGAUGAACGGCCACAUUGGAACUGAGACACGGUCCAGACUCCUACGGGAGGCAGCAGUGGGGAAUCUUCCGCAAUGGGCGCAAGCCUGACGGAGCAACGCCGCGUGAGUGAAGAAGGGUUUCGACUCGUAAAGCUCUGUUGUCGGGGACGAACGUGGAGACGGCGAAUAGCCGUUUCCAAUGACGGUACCUGACGAGGAAGCCACGGCUAACUACGUGCCAGCAGCCGCGGUAAUACGUAGGUGGCGAGCGUUGUCCGGAAUUAUUGGGCGUAAAGGGAGCGCAGGCGGGAAGGUAAGUCUGAAGUGAAAGCCCGGGGCUCAACCCCGGGACUGCUUUGGAAACUAUGCAGCUAGAGUGUCGGAGAGGUAAGUGGAAUUCCCAGUGUAGCGGUGAAAUGCGUAGAUAUUGGGAGGAACACCAGUGGCGAAGGCGGCUUACUGGACGAUGACUGACGUUGAGGCUCGAAAGCGUGGGGAGCAAACAGGAUUAGAUACCCUGGUAGUCCACGCCGUAAACGAUGACUACUAGGUGUCGGGGAGCAAAGCUCUUCGGUGCCGCAGCAAACGCAAUAAGUAGUCCACCUGGGGAGUACGCUCGCAAGAAUGAAACUCAAAGGAAUUGACGGGGACCCGCACAAGCGGUGGAGCAUGUGGUUUAAUUCGAAGCAACGCGAAGAACCUUACCUGCUCUUGACAUCCCGGUGACCGGCAUGUAAUGAUGCCUUUUCUUCGGAACACCGGUGACAGGUGGUGCAUGGUUGUCGUCAGCUCGUGUCGUGAGAUGUUGGGUUAAGUCCAGCAACGAGCGCAACCCUUAUCUUCAGUAGCCAGCAUUUUGGAUGGGCACUCUGGAGAGACUGCCAGGGAUAACCUGGAGGAAGGUGGGGAUGACGUCAAAUCGUCAUGCCCCUUAUGACUUGGGCUACACACGUGCUACAAUGGCGUAAACAAAGUGAAGCGAGAGUGUGAGCUUAAGCAAAUCACAAAAAUAACGUCUCAGUUCGGAUUGUAGUCUGCAACUCGACUACAUGAAGCUGGAAUCGCUAGUAAUCGCAGAUCAGAAUGCUGCGGUGAAUACGUUCCCGGGUCUUGUACACACCGCCCGUCACACCAUGGGAGUCGGAAAUGCCCGAAGUCGGUGACCUAACGUAAGAAGGAGCCGCCGAAGGCAGGUCUGAUAACUGGGGUGAAGUCGUAACAAGGUA